rnacentral:rRNA from 1 species
UCGGACGGGUCAGUAACGCGUGAGAAUCUGGCCUCAGGACGGGGACAACGACUGGAAACGGUCGCUAAUACCCGAUGUGCCGAAAGGUGAAAGGAUUAAUUGCCUGAGGAUGAGCUCGCGUCUGAUAAGCUAGUUGGAGGGGUAAAGGCCCACCAAGGCGACGAUCAGUAGCUGGUCUGAGAGGAUGAUCAGCCACACUGGGACUGAGACACGGCCCAGACUCCUACGGGAGGCAGCAGUGGGGAAUUUUCCGCAAUGGGCGAAAGCCUGACGGAGCAAGACCGCGUGAGGGAAGACGGCCUACUGGUUGUAAACCUCUUUUGAUAGGGAAGAACACAAUGACGGUACCUAUCGAAUCAGCCUCGGCUAACUCCGUGCCAGCAGCCGCGGUAAUACGGAGGAGGCAAGCGUUAUCCGGAAUUAUUGGGCGUAAAGCGUCCGUAGGUGGAUAUUCAAGUCAGUUGUUAAAGCGUGGAGCUUAACUCCAUAAAGGCAAUUGAAACUGAAUGUCUAGAGUGCGAUAGGGGCAAGGGGAAUUCCCAGUGUAGCGGCGAAUUGCGUAGAUAUUGGGAAGAACAUCGGUGGCGAAAGCGCCU